GACGAACGCUGGCGGCGUGCCUAAUACAUGCAAGUAGAACGCUGAAGAGAGGAGCUUGCUCUUCUUGGAUGAGUUGCGAACGGGUGAGUAACGCGUAGGUAACCUGCCUGGUAGCGGGGGAUAACUAUUGGAAACGAUAGCUAAUACCGCAUAAAAUUGAUUAUUGCAUGAUAAUUAAUUGAAAGAUGCAAUUGCAUCACUACCAGAUGGACCUGCGUUGUAUUAGCUAGUUGGUGAGGUAACGGCUCACCAAGGCGACGAUACAUAGCCGACCUGAGAGGGUGAUCGGCCACACUGGGACUGAGACACGGCCCAGACUCCUACGGGAGGCAGCAGUAGGGAAUCUUCGGCAAUGGGGGGAACCCUGACCGAGCAACGCCGCGUGAGCGAAGAAGGUUUUCGGAUCGUAAAGCUCUGUUGUAAGAGAAGAACGGGUGUGAGAGUGGAAAGUUCACACUGUGACGGUAUCUUACCAGAAAGGGACGGCUAACUACGUGCCAGCAGCCGCGGUAAUAC
rnacentral:rRNA from 1 species